AUUGAACGCUAGCGGGAUGCUUUACACAUGCAAGUCGAACGGAGUGGCGGACGGGUGAGUAAUAUAUCGGAACGUGCCUAGUAGCGGGGGAUAACUACUCGAAAGAGUGGCUAAUACCGCAUACUAUCGGAGCGGCCGAUAUCGGAUUAGCUUGUUGGUGGGGCAACGGCUCACCCAGGCGACGAUCCCUAGCUGGUUUGAGAGGAAGACCAGCCACACUGGGACUGAGACACGGCCCAGACUCCUACGGGAGGCAGCAGUGGGGAAUUUUGGACAAUGGGGGAAAGCCUGAUCCAGCCAUCCCGCGUGUGUGAGGAAGGCCUUCGGGUUGUAAAGUACUUUUAGCAGAAAAGCGGUAUCUGCAGAAUAAGCACCGGCUAACUACGUGCCAGCAGCCGCGGUAAUAC
rnacentral:rRNA from 1 species